rnacentral:rRNA from 1 species
AUUGAACGCUGGCGGCAUGCUUUACACAUGCAAGUCGAACGGAAGCGCGGGGUUCGGCUUGGCGGCGAGUGGCGAACGGGUGAGUAAUACAUCGGAACGUGCCCAGUAGUGGGGGAUAGCUCGGCGAAAGCGGGGUUAAUACCGCAUAAGACCUGGGGGUGCAAGCGGGGGGUCCUCUGACCUCGCGCUAUUGGAGCAGCCGAUGGCAGGUUAGUUAGUUGGGGGGGUAAGGGCAAACAAAGGCGACGAUCUAUAGCCGGUCUGAAAGGACGAACAGCCACACUGGGACUGAGCCACGGCCCAGACUCCUACGGGGGGCAGCAGUGGGGAAUUUUGGACAAUGGGCGAAAGCCUGAUCCAGCAAUGCCGCGUGUGUGAUGAAGGCCUUCGGGUUGUAAAGCACUUUUGGCGGGAACGAAAAGGACUGUGCCAAUACCACGGUUCGAUGACGGUACCCGCAGAAUAAGCACCGGCUAACUACGUG